rnacentral:rRNA from 1 species
UACGGAGGGUGCGAGCGUUGUUCGGAAUCACUGGGCGUAAAGCGCGUGUAGGCGGCCUUGUAAGUUUGGUGUGAAAGCCCGGGGCUUACCCCCGGAAGUGCACUGGAGACUGCAAGGCUUGAGUACCGGAGAGGAAAGUGGAAUUCCUGGUGUAGCGGUGAAAUGCGUAGAUAUCAGGAGGAACACCGGUGGCGAAGGCGGCUUUCCGGACGGAUACUGACGCUGAGACGCGAAAGCGUGGGGAGCAAACAGG